CAAGUGUGGUGGCACACACCUGUAAUCUAAACUGCCAAAGAGGAAGAGAUUGGCAGAACUCUUGUGUUCAGGAGUUCUUAGUUGCAGUGGGCUAUGCCAAUCUGGUGUCUGAAUUAAAUAGAGCAUCAGAAGGAGGAUCCUCAUGGAGCAGGGGGCCACCAGAUUGUCUAAGAAAGGGGCAAACUGACCCAGGUCAGAAAUGGGGUGGGUCAAAGUUCCUAUGCUGAUUAGUAGUGGGAUUGGGCUUGUGAAUAGCCCCUGCUAUUCACAGCAGCCUGAGAAAGGCUGGGAGAAUCAGUCUUUA
rnacentral:SRP_RNA from 1 species